AGUAAGUGUAGCCAUGAUAUUCCGCGUCAACUUUGAUCGAGCUAACUUUGAUCAUCCGUUUUAUUUGAAAUUUUUUUAUAAUUAGCAUUUUUGUUGUCAUGAAAUGAUAAAAUAUGAAUAGUACUUUACCUCGUGACUUAUGUUUUUAAUUUUUUUUAAAAAAUUUUCAAAUAAGACGAACGGUCAAAGUUGGACGCGGAAAACCAUGGCUGCACUUAUU
rfam:Oryza sativa Japonica Group DNA, chromosome 2, cultivar: Nipponbare, complete sequence.